rfam:Gilliamella apicola SCGC AB-598-I20 SCG598I20_12792, whole genome shotgun sequence.
AAAAGUAUGACAUUGCUCACAUUGCUUCCAAUGUUUGCCAGCCUAGCUAAACUAAGCUGGCUUUUUUAU